AGAGAGAGAGAGAGAGAAAGAGUUAAUUCCAGCAAUGGUCCCCCGAGUAUGUUGAUUUUCCACAUUUAGUUCCCGUCUUUUAAUUUGGACAAUUUAACCAUCUGACUAUUAAAUUUUUUCUAAUUGAGGUCCUUCCGUUAACUAGGU